rnacentral:rRNA from 1 species
CUGAAUAACUCCGCAGAUCGCAUGGUCUAGCACCGGCGACAUAUCUUUCAAGUGUCUGCCUUAUCAACUUUCGAUGGUAGUUUAUGUGACUACCAUGGUUGUUACGGGUAACGGAGAAUUAGGGUUCGACUCCGGAGAGGGAGCCUGAGAAACGGCUACCACAUCCAAGGAAGGCAGCAGGCGCGCAAAUUACCCACUCUCGGCAUGAGGAGGUAGUGACGAAAAAUAACGAGACAGUUCUCUUUGAGGUCUGUCAUCGGAAUGGGUACAACCCAAACCCUUUAACGAGGAUCUAUUGGAGGGCAAGUCUGGUGCCAGCAGCCGCGGUAAUUCCAGCUCCAAUAGCGUAUAUUAAAGUUGUUGCGGUUAAAAAG